rnacentral:rRNA from 1 species
UGUAUAAUGGGUCAGCGACUUAUAUUCUGUAGCAAGGUUAACCGAAUAGGGGAGCCGAAGGGAAACCGAGUCUUAACUGGGCGUUAAGUUGCAGGGUAUAGACCCGAAACCCGGUGAUCUAGCCAUGGGCAGGUUGAAGGUUGGGUAACACUAACUGGAGGACCGAACCGACUAAUGUUGAAAAAUUAGCGGAUGACUUGUGGCUGGGGGUGAAAGGCCAAUCAAACCGGGAGAUAGCUGGUUCUCCCCGAAAGCUAUUUAGGUAGCGCCUCGUGAAUUCAUCUCCGGGGGUAGAGCACUGUUUCGGCAAGGGGGUCAUCCCGACUUACCAACCCGAUGCAAACUGCGAAUACCGGAGAAUGUUAUCACGGGAGACACACGGCGGGUGCUAACGUCCGUCGUGAAGAGGGAAACAACCCAGACCGCCAGCUAAGGUCCCAAAGUCAUGGUUAAGUGGGAAACGAUGUGGGAAGGCCCAGACAGCCAGGAUGUUGGCUUAGAAGCAGCCAUCAUUUAAAGAAAGCGUAAUAGCUCACUGGUCGAGUCGGCCUGCGCGGAAGAUGUAACGGGGCUAAACCAUGCACCGAAGCUGCGGCAGCGACACUAUGUGUUGUUGGGUAGGGGAGCGUUCUGUAAGCCUGUGAAGGUGGCCUGUGAGGGUUGCUGGAGGUAUCAGAAGUGCGAAUGCUGACAUAAGUAACGAUAAAGCGGGUGAAAAGCCCGCUCGCCGGAAGACCAAGGGUUCCUGUCCAACGUUAAUCGGGGCAGGGUGAGUCGACCCCUAAGGCGAGGCCGAAAGGCGUAGUCGAUGGGAAACAGGUUAAUAUUCCUGUACUUGGUGUUACUGCGAAGGGGGGACGGAGAAGGCUAUGUUGGCCGGGCGACGGUUGUCCCGGUUUAAGCGUGUAGGCUGGUUUUCCAGGCAAAUCCGGAAAACCAAGGCUGAGGCGUGAUGACGAGGCACUACGGUGCUGAAGCGACAAAUGCCCUGCUUCCAGGAAAAGCCUCUAAGCAUCAGGUAACAUCAAAUCGUACCCCAAACCGACACAGGUGGUCAGGUAGAGAAUACCAAGGCGCUUGAGAGAACUCGGGUGAAGGAACUAGGCAAAAUGGUGCCGUAACUUCGGGAGAAGGCACGCUGAUAUGUAGGUGAAGCGACUUGCUC